rnacentral:rRNA from 1 species
AAGCUCGUAGUUGAAUUUCGGGAUCAAUAUACCGGUCGUGCCUCAGGUAUGAACUGGUCCUAUUGGUUUCUCCCUUCUGACGAACCAUGAUGUCAUUAAUUUGAUGUCGUGGAGAAUCAGGACUGUUACUUUGAAAAAAUUAGAGUGUUUAAAGCAGGCUAACGCUUGAAUACAUUAGCAUGGAAUAAUGAAAUAGGACGUUCGAUCCUAUUUUGUUGGUUUCUAGGAUCGACGUAAUGAUUAAUAGGGAUAGUUGGG